CACUAAGAUUCUCUACGCUGCGAUGUCCACUGCCAGAUCCAGAUGAAUAGCACUGCGGUUCUUCAGACACCAUUACUUCCUCGCACUCCGGUGUCAAACUGCUCCUGUUCCAUCUACUAGUCUUGGAAACAUUAUCAGCAUGAGAUAUUAACUCCUCCUUUGGGGAAGUCAAACCUGUCCCCCACCUAGAUGUCUUAAUACAUGGUUCCUGCAUCACUUGUUCUUCCUCCAACAGACCCUCUUUUACAUGCUUCUGCAUCACCUGUUCUUCCUCCAACUGACCCUCCUCCAAAUCAUCAACGGAAUGUUUCACAGACAGCAUGGCUUCUAAAGGCUGCACUGGAACAAGAUAACUAGGUUCUGGCGACAUCAAAAAAUUAACUUGAUCCUUUGAAGAAGUCUUACCAGCAACAGCCUGGUUGGAUAUCACAGUUGUAGUCGGAAUAGGGAAAGG
rnacentral:lncRNA from 1 species